GGUUAAGCGACUAAGCGUACACGGUGGAUGCCCUGGCAGUCAGAGGCGAUGAAGGGCGUGCUAAUCUGCGAUAAGCGCCGGUAAGGUGAUAUGAACCGUUAUAACCGGCGAUACCCGAAUGGGGAAACCCAGUGUGACUCGUCACACUAUCAUUAACUGAAUCCAUAGGUUAAUGAGGCGAACCGGGGGAACUGAAACAUCUAAGUACCCCGAGGAAAAGAAAUCAACCGAGAUUCCCCCAGUAGCGGCGAGCGAACGGGGAGGAGCCCAGAGCCUGAAUCAGCAUGUGUGUUAGUGGAAGCGUCUGGAAAGGCGCGCGAUACAGGGUGACAGCCCCGUACACAAAAGCGCAUGUGCUGUGAGCUCGAUGAGUAGGGCGGGACACGUGGUAUCCUGUCUGAAUAUGGGGGGACCAUCCUCCAAGGCUAAAUACUCCUGACUGACCGAUAGUGAACCAGUACCGUGAGGGAAAGGCGAAAAGAACCCCGGCGAGGGGAGUGAAAAAGAACCUGAAACCGUGUACGUACAAGCAGUGGGAGCCCCACCACUAAGCCAGUGGUGAACUCCACAUACGCAUCCUUUGCUGAGGAUACGGUUAACGGAGCGAAAGCGACGUUCAACCUCAAAAGAAGCAGAGGGGGCUUAGUGGUGGGGUGACUGCGUACCUUUUGUAUAAUGGGUCAGCGACUUAUAUUCUGUAGCAAGGUUAACCGAAUAGGGGAGCCGGAGGGAAACCGAGUCUUAACCGGGCGUUAAGUUGCAGGGUAUAGACCCGAAACCCGGUGAUCUAGCCAUGGGCAGGUUGAAGGUUGGGUAACACUAACUGGAGGACCGAACCGACUAAUGUUGAAAAAUUAGCGGAUGACCUGUGGCUGGGGGUGAAAGGCCAAUCAAACCGGGAGAUAGCUGGUUCUCCCCGAAAGCUAUUUAGGUAGCGCCUCGUGAAUUCAUCUCCGGGGGUAGAGCACUGUUUCGGCUAGGGGGCCAUCCCGGCUUACCAACCCGAUGCAAACUGCGAAUACCGGAGAAUGUUAUCACGGGAGACACACGGCGGGUGCUAACGUCCGUCGUGAAGAGGGAAACAACCCAGACCGCCAGCUAAGGUCCCAAAGUCAUGGUUAAGUGGGAAACGAUGUGGGAAGGCCCAGACAGCCAGGAUGUUGGCUUAGAAGCAGCCAUCAUUUAAAGAAAGCGUAAUAGCUCACUGGUCGAGUCGGCCUGCGCGGAAGAUGUAACGGGGCUAAACCAUGCACCGAAGCUGCGGCAGCGACACUGUGUGUUGUUGGGUAGGGGAGCGUUCUGUAAGCCUGUGAAGGUGGCCUGUGAGGGUUGCUGGAGGUAUCAGAAGUGCGAAUGCUGACAUAAGUAACGAUAAAGCGGGUGAAAAGCCCGCUCGCCGGAAGACCAAGGGUUCCUGUCCAACGUUAAUCGGGGCAGGGUGAGUCGACCCCUAAGGCGAGGCCGAAAGGCGUAGUCGAUGGGAAACGGGUUAAUAUUCCCGUACUUGGUGUUACUGCGAAGGGGGGACGGAGAAGGCUAUGUUGGCCGGGCGACGGUUGUCCCGGUUUAAGCGUGUAGGUGUGUGUUCCAGGUAAAUCCGGUUCACUUUAACACUGAGGCGUGAUGACGAGGCACUACGGUGCUGAAGCAACAAAUGCCCUGCUUCCAGGAAAAGCCUCUAAGCAUCAGGUAACAUCAAAUCGUACCCCAAACCGACACAGGUGGUCAGGUAGAGAAUACCAAGGCGCUUGAGAGAACUCGGGUGAAGGAACUAGGCAAAAUGGUGCCGUAACUUCGGGAGAAGGCACGCUGACACGUAGGUGAAGUGAUUUACUCAUGGAGCUGAAGUCAGUCGAAGAUACCAGCUGGCUGCAACUGUUUAUUAAAAACACAGCACUGUGCAAACACGAAAGUGGACGUAUACGGUGUGACGCCUGCCCGGUGCCGGAAGGUUAAUUGAUGGGGUCAGCGCAAGCGAAGCUCCUGAUCGAAGCCCCGGUAAACGGCGGCCGUAACUAUAACGGUCCUAAGGUAGCGAAAUUCCUUGUCGGGUAAGUUCCGACCUGCACGAAUGGCGUAAUGAUGGCCAGGCUGUCUCCACCCGAGACUCAGUGAAAUUGAACUCGCUGUGAAGAUGCAGUGUACCCGCGGCAAGACGGAAAGACCCCGUGAACCUUUACUAUAGCUUGACACUGAACAUUGAGCCUUGAUGUGUAGGAUAGGUGGGAGGCUUUGAAGUGUGGACGCCAGUCUGCAUGGAGCCGACCUUGAAAUACCACCCUUUAAUGUUUGAUGUUCUAACGUGGACCCGUAAUCCGGGUUGCGGACAGUGUCUGGUGGGUAGUUUGACUGGGGCGGUCUCCUCCUAAAGAGUAACGGAGGAGCACGAAGGUUGGCUAAUCCUGGUCGGACAUCAGGAGGUUAGUGCAAUGGCAUAAGCCAGCUUGACUGCGAGCGUGACGGCGCGAGCAGGUGCGAAAGCAGGUCAUAGUGAUCCGGUGGUUCUGAAUGGAAGGGCCAUCGCUCAACGGAUAAAAGGUACUCCGGGGAUAACAGGCUGAUACCGCCCAAGAGUUCAUAUCGACGGCGGUGUUUGGCACCUCGAUGUCGGCUCAUCACAUCCUGGGGCUGAAGUAGGUCCCAAGGGUAUGGCUGUUCGCCAUUUAAAGUGGUACGCGAGCUGGGUUUAGAACGUCGUGAGACAGUUCGGUCCCUAUCUGCCGUGGGCGCUGGAGAACUGAGGGGGGCUGCUCCUAGUACGAGAGGACCGGAGUGGACGCAUCACUGGUGUUCGGGUUGUCAUGCCAAUGGCACUGCCCGGUAGCUAAAUGCGGAAGAGAUAAGUGCUGAAAGCAUCUAAGCACGAAACUUGCCCCGAGAUGAGUUCUCCCUGAGACUUAGAGUCUCCUGAAGGAACGUUGAAGACGACGACGUUGAUAGGCCGGGUGUGUAAGCGCAGCGAUGCGUUGAGCUAACCGGUACUAAUGAACCGUGAGGCUUAACCUU
rnacentral:rRNA from 1 species